UACGGGGGGGGGUAAGCGUUGUCCGGAAUUAUUGGGCGUAAAGAGCUCGUAGGCGGUUUGUCGCGUCUGCUGUGAAAACCUAAGGCUCAACCUUGGGCUUGCAGUGGGUACGGGCAGACUAGAGUGCGGUAGGGGUGACUGGAAUUCCUGGUGUAGCGGUGGAAUGCGCAGAUAUCAGGAGGAACACCGAUGGCGAAGGCAGGUCACUGGGCCGCAACUGACGCUGGAGGAGCGGAAAGCAUGGGGAGCGAACAGG
rnacentral:rRNA from 1 species